UGGGGAAUUUUGGACAAUGGGCGCAAGCCUGAUCCAGCAAUGCCGCGUGCAGGAUGAAGGCCUUCGGGUUGUAAACUGCUUUUGUACGGAGCGAAAAGGUCUGCCCUAAUACGGUGGGCUCAUGACGGUACCGUAAGAAUAAGCACCGGCUAACUACGUGCCAGCAGCCGCGGCAAUACGUAGGGUGCGAGCGUUAAUCGGAAUUACUGGGCGUAAAGCGUGCGCAGGCGGUUAUAUAAGACAGAGGUGAAAUCCCCGGGCUCAACCUGGGAACUGCCUUUGUGACUGCAUAGCUAGAGUACGGUAGAGGGGGAUGGAAUUCCGCGUGUAGCAGUGAAAUGCGUAGAUAUGCGGAGGAACACCGAUGGCGAAGGCAAUCCCCUGAACCUGUACUGACGCUCAUGCACGAAAGCGUGGGGAGCAAACA
rnacentral:rRNA from 1 species